rnacentral:rRNA from 1 species
AUUGAACGCUGGCGGCAUGCCUUACACAUGCAAGUCGAACGGUAACAGGUCUUCGGAUGCUGACGAGUGGCGAACGGGUGAGUAAUACAUCGGAACGUGCCUAGAAGUGGGGGAUAACUACUCGAAGGAGUGGCUAAUACCGCAUGAGAUCUACGGAUGAAAGCAGGGGAUCGCAAGACCUUGUGCUACUAGAGCGGCCGAUGGCAGAUUAGGUAGUUGGUGGGAUAAAAGCUUACCAAGCCGACGAUCUGUAGCUGGUCUGAGAGGACGAGCAGCAACACUGGUACUGAGACAAGGCCCAGACGCCUACGGGAGGCAGCAGUGGGGAAGUUUGGACAAUGGGCGAAAGCCUGAUCCAGCAAUGCCGCGUGCAGGAUGAAGGCCUUCGGGUUGUAAACUGCUUUUGUACGGAACGAAAAGCCCCGGGUUAAUACCCUGGGGUCAUGACGGUACCGUAAGAAUAAGCACCGGCUAACUACGUGCCAGCCGCCGCCGUAA